rnacentral:rRNA from 1 species
AUGCAGCCCCUUUGUCCCGCUCUCGGUUUUCCCCAAAAUUUGGUAGCGCUCUACCCCUGCUCAACCCUUCGUCCCGCUCUAGGGAAAGAAAGAAGAACAGCGGCACAUGGUGAGGAGAUGAGAAGCAAAGCAACUCGAGGUCCAUGGUGGCACAAGCAAGCACAGAUCCCACCGUCGUCUCCCUCUUCCCCUUCACUCUCUACCUUGCGGGUUCCUGGCCGUGGAGAUUGGCGGUGUCCUGCUGCUCGCCAGAUAGAUCCAGAAGAGGUGGGGCUCGACAGCUCAACAACUAUGUACUGCGGUGAGGACGGCGCUCGGCAGUGUCACACUGGUCCGUGGUCGCCGUCAUGGGCCUCAUCCCUUGCUCGGACGGACGCCAACAAUGGUUGUCGCCCGGAGGCAACCUCGAGCAUUCCAUCCAUCCUCCCACACGUCGCCGUUGUUGGCCUCAUCGCUUGCCUCGACGGACGUGAGCAAAGGACACACAUUGUCUGCCCGUCGUGCUUCGGCACUCCUGGCGGCAACAAGGAUGCGCGGCCGAAAGGCUCAUAA